rnacentral:rRNA from 1 species
UACAGAGGGGGCAAGCGUUGUUCGGAAUUACUGGGCGUAAAGCGCGCGUAGGCGGCUUUGUAAGUUAGAGGUGAAAGCCCGGGGCUCAACCCCGGAAAUGCCUUUAAGACUGCAUCGCUUGAAUCCAGGAGAGGUGAGUGGAAUUCCGAGUGUAGAGGUGAAAUUCGUAGAUAUUCGGAAGAACACCAGUGGCGAAGGCGGCUCACUGGCCUGGUAUUGACGCUGAGGUGCGAAAGCGUGGGGAGCAAACAGG